UGAUUCUCGAAAUCAUAUUUUGAAAAAGUACUUACUCUCUAUUUUUAAAAAUCUAUUUUACGCAGGAAUAAUUAUAUCAAAUGUGAUUUUUUAAAAAUUUUCGAAACACUAAAAAUAAUUUUUAAUUUUUAAAAAUUACAUUUGAACCGUUUAAAAGCAAACACAAACAGACCCUUAAUAAACUUGCUGCAACUUAAUCGUAAGUAGAUUGCCCAAUUUAUUUAUUUUCGAACAUCAAAUUUUAUUUAUUUAAUCAUAAAGUAAUUUCUAUUUAUAUGUUUUGUAAAUUUAGUUCAUUGAUUGUAACUCAGCAUUUUACUAAUAUCAUAAAGUAUAUUCAUCGCAAAAAUAAUUAAAAAUAUGCUUUAGAAGCAGCAUACAUCCACAGCAAUAGAUGAUUCAUGCAACAGAUAUGUCACAGUGUGCAUUAAUUGUUGGAGCCAACCACAACCGACGAGGUAGUUAGAACCUUGUCUAUUAUCUGCAUGAUUGUUGGAGCCAACUAAACUACUUUUUUUGUCAAAUUCUUUUAUGCACUCUUGUCUUUGGAUUAUUAAUAUAAUUUUAACGGCUCUUCCAAUUUUAGUACUGUAAUGUUUAUCUUUCUAUCAAUUGAUUUUGUUGUCUGUGAUAAACUUUGAUCUAUUGUGAUGAUGUUUUUCUUUUUUCUUUUGUGUAACACAAUAGAAAAAAAAAAUAAUGGGUUCCCAUUUAAGUGUCUUGCUCAUUUUUUAUUCAUAUCUAGUCCAGUCAGUAUGUCAUUCUAUAAAUAUAUUUAGCGAGUGGAAAAAAUCAGCAUUAAAUGGAGAUUAUAAUACCAAUUCAAAUCUUCAAAAAUAUUAAAACUUAAUUAGAAGAGGUCUUAAUGACUUGUAGAUUUGAAUGAGAACUCGUCCAAAUUUUGAAGGAUGAAAAUUAAAAAAAAAAAAACCACAAGACUGGACUAAUUAAAUUGUUUUACCAUUACGUUAUACACCCAAUGUCAUGCCGCCACUUGUAAGUUCAAAGUAGAAUCCACGCACGCACACACACAUACCAACCCACUUUAGCAGAUUUUCAUUUUAAAAACUUUUGACUCUACCGUGUCAAACACUUAGGUUUCCAAGCACUCUAAAAGUACCCAACUCUCCCCCCACAAUUAACGGCUAAUAUGGUUACCAUUCAAUUACACAAAGGCCCUUCUAUGGAAACCACGCCCAUACGGAAGCGCAUGAGUUCGAGGCCCACAGGAGCUCGUCUAUCGCUUCUAACUAUCUGGACGCUCGUUAAAAUUCUUGAUUGUAAUAUAAAUUUAUUGUUAAUUAAUUUCACUUCACUUGUUUCGACAUUUAUCAUCACACCACACUAGUGAUAAUUGUGUUAAUAAUAUUAAAACAGGUAACACUUCGUUAAUUUUUAUCAUUAAUUAGACGUUUCAUUAAAAUUUUAGACUAUAUUAUAAAUGUAUAUAUUAAAUGUUCAAGUAGAUUUUUUUUUACAUUGAUAUUACA
rnacentral:lncRNA from 1 species